rnacentral:lncRNA from 1 species
CGUCGUGACCUAUAUAUAAAUAUAAAUAGUAAUACAUUGCGGCUAUAAUAAUUUUCCUUUAGACGAGCUCAACUUCGUUCUUUUUGUCUUCCUAUUAUUUUCACAUUGAAGUACCCUUUUAAAGAGUCUAAGCUACUGUUGAGGUGGAUUUUGAUGGAUUGUCGUUUCUGAAAUAGGCAUACCCCCAGAGCUGAAAUUGAAGAGAUUCCUGUGACAAGAAACAAACCCCCAAAGCUAUGAAUGUUUAGCCUGUUGGGAUUGCUUUCUGGGUCCAGAGUUGUAAAGCUUGAUUCACUGUUAAACCAUUUAUUUUCCAUCAUUUCCAGCCUUUUUUCCUCUCUUAACCUCAUAAUUGCACUUGAAAUGUCUUGGACAAGUGGGGAACGUUUAGGGAAAACCUACCAUUAAUAACAUACAAACAAAUCAACACCCAUUGCUGCAAAUCGAUGAAAGAUCAAAGUUAAUAGGGUUUUGGAAAGGAAUCUUACAAAGCCAAAACCGCCUGUUAUAGCCUUCGAUUUGAUCAUGGUGUAAUCAGAAGGGUACUUGGCAAGGAAUACUUUAAGGUUUGGUAUUUCAUCAAUAAUAGAUGACGCACCACCAUUCUUACUUCCCCUUCUUAAAGCAUCGGCAUAUUCUUCCGGAGAAUGGUUUGCCCUUCGUCUGCGAGUUUCAAAUGUAAAGUUGCUAAUAUCACUUGAAACCCAUGCAUCGUUGUCUCUUGAGCUCAAUUGUAUCUGUUUAACUGUUAACAUGGAAGCCAAAGUUGCGGUGUAGCUUGAGGUUAUUAUAAGCACAACAAACACCCAUAUUAUCACUACAAACUUCGACAAGUUGCUCAACGGCUUCUCUGCAGUUUCAAAUUAUGGUAAAACAAAAAUUACAGUUAGCUUAGCUCAAUGUAUGCAUCAAACACGAACUCAACUCGAGAUUAGCAUCAAGUUUACCUAAUAAGCUCAGUUCAAUAUAUGGUUCUGUAUGAAUGAAACAGAAAGGUUAUUUAAGUUGAACAUAGAGUACUUACUGUGGGAAAAUACAAGAGUUGAGAAAGAGUACCAAAAGAUCAUUCCUAUUUGCUGAGACGGUGAGCCUUGGAACUCCUCGUUGAUGGGACGUUCAAUAAACCAAAUCACAACGCCAGUGAAAAUAAAGAAAGCAGCGACAGUUAUCCACAGAUCUCCACAAAGAGGCUUCAGGAAAACCCAGAUGUCGUUGUUGAUUUUUGGCACUACAACUCCGAUGUCUAAGUCAGUGAAUGGCAGCGUGAAAUCGACAUAUGCAAAUCUGCGAGAGAUGAUUGUUAUAUCCCCCACAACAGCAUCAUAAUUCUAGGCCAUUGAUCACAAGAAAGAAUAUAUAAAUACCACAUUCAAGUGCAAUAUAAUUUGAGUUCUCAGAAGCUGAGGAAUGUAUGCAUAAAUAUGCCCACAAAUGCAGAUUUUUGCUGUUUCUUGCUGAGGAAGUCAAAGGUUGAAGCUCGAGUGGCUGAGGACAGUAGUGAUCAAGAAGAGCAGGUCUUUGUUGUUUCUUGCUUAGCUACUGAGAAGAAAUCUUCAAAAGGAUGGUUAUUGGAUAGUGGUUGCACUAACCAUAUGUCACCUGAUAUCUCCUUGUUUAAAACCUUGGAUAAAAGUUGCAAAACCAAGGUCAAGGUUGGAAAUGGUCAGUUUAUAAGGGCUGAAGGAAGAGGAGAGGUGCUGAUAUGUACUCCUACAGGCAACAAAGUUAUUUCAAAUGUCUUGCUGGUACCUGAAAUUGAUAGAAACCUUCUCAGCAUAGCUCAAUUGCUUGAGAAAGGCUAUUCUGUUGUGUUUAAGGACAAACAGUGCCACAUUGUUGAUCCAAGUGGAUCAAGCCUUAUGACAGUCACAAUGACUGAUAAAUGCUUUGAGGUUCAUUGGCCAAGUGACUCAAAGUCAGCAUACACUGCCUCUGUUGAUGAUUCCAAGCUUUGGCACCAAAGGCUCGGGCAUGCCAACUUCAGGUCAAUGGCUCGAAUGGCUAGUGAGGGCUUGGCUGAGAACUUUACCAGCUCUGUAGAGCAUGAUGAUGAUGUGUGUGAAGUGUGUCAGAUGGGAAAACAGGCAAGACUGCCAUUUCCUAUAAAUUCAGCAUGGAGAGCCACUGAAAAAUUGCAGCUGGUGCACUCUGAUGUAUGUGGACCUAUGAGGAUUGAAUCACUAAGCAAAAACAGGUAUUUUAUCCUCUUCAUUGAUGAUUUUACAAGGUUUUGUUGGAUUUUCUUCUUGAAACACAAGUCUGAGGUAACUCAAGUGUUUGUGAAGUUUAAAACUGCUGUAGAAACAGAAACAGGCUGCAAGCUGAAAUCGAUAAGGUCAGACAAUGGCACUGAGUACACUUCAGCUCAGUUCCAAGCCAUUUGUAAUGAUGCUGGCAUCAAACAUCACCUUACAAAUGUUUACACACCUCAACAGAAUGGGGUAGCUGAAAGAAAGAACAGAAGUCUGAUAGAUAUGGCCAGAUGUCUUCUGUUCGAGAAGAAACUGCCCAAGACCAUGUGGGCUGAGGCAGUAAACACUGCUGUUUACCUUCAGAAUAGGCUUCCUACCAAAGCUCUUGCAUCCAAGACACCUUUCGAGGCUUGGUUUGGAUUCAAGCCUUCCUUGGCACACCUGAAGGUGUUUGGUUGCCUGUGUUAUGCUCAAAUACCAGCAUCAAAGAGAGACAAGCUCUCUGAAAGGGCUCAACCAGGUGUCUUAGUAGGCUACAGCUCAGUUAAGAAGAGCUACAGGGUGCUGGAUCCCUUGUCAAACAAAGUCCAAGUAAGCAGAGAUGUCAUCUUUGAUGAAAAGGCUUGCUGGAAUUGGGACAAGAAUGAACCAGAAGCAGUUUCAGAAGACCUGGUGCCCAAUCAAGCUGAACUUGAGCAGCUUGGUCCUGAAGUGGAUGUUGAUGAUGAGCCAGUAAGAGGGACAAGGUCCCUAGAUGAGAUUUAUGAAAGGGCACAUGUUGCUAUAGCAGAACCUAGUAGUUUUGAAGAGGCUGAGGCAGAUGAAAGUUGGAAACAAGCUAUGGCAGAUGAGAUCAACAUGAUUGAGAAGAACCAUACAUGGGAGUUGGUUGAAAAGCCUGCCAACAGAAAGACCAUUGGUGUAAAAUGGGUCUAUCGAGUGAAGCACAAUGCAGAUGGAAGCUUGAACAAGCUAAAGGCCAGGCUAGUUGUGAAGGGAUUCAGUCAAAGGUAUGGCCUGGACUACAUGGAAACAUUUGCUCCAGUAGCCAGACUCUAUACAAUCAGAUUGCUAGUUGCUGUAGCUGCUCAGAACCAGUGGACAAUCCAUCAAAUGGAUGUCAAGUCAGCAUUCCUCAAUGGAUUCUUGGAAGAGGAGAUAUACAUCGAACAACCUCCAGGUUUUAUAAUGUCUGGUAAGGAACAUUUGGUGUACAGGCUAAGAAAGGCCUUGUAUGGCCUAAAACAGGCUCCUCGAGCCUGGUAUGCUCGGAUUGACUCAUAUCUGGUCAGUUUGGGAUUUGAAAGAAGUGCUAGUGAGCCAACACUCUAUGUUAAAAGAAAUAGAGCUGAAACACAGCUCAUUGUGUCACUCUAUGUUGAUGAUCUUCUAGUGACUGGAGGAGACAAAUUCAUGCUGGCUGGCUUCAAAACAAAAAUGAAAGAGAUGUUUGAAAUGUCAGACCUGGGAUUGAUGACAUACUUCCUAGGAAUGGAAGUUAAUCAAGCAGAAGGAGGAAUCUUCUUGAGACAAAAAUCAUUUGCCUUGAAAGUUCUAACCAAGUUCUCAAUGGAGAAUUGUAAACCAACCAGCACUCCUAUGGCUGUUGGCAUGAAGCUAUCGAGCCAAGAAGAUCAUGAAUCUGUUUGUGAAACUGACUACAGAAGCCUUGUUGGUUGUUUGCUGUAUUUGACAGCAACAAGACCGGAUAUUCUGUUUGCUGUGAGCAUGCUAUCAAGAUUCAUGCACUGCUGUAACCAGCAGCAUUAUAAAGCUGGAAAACGAGUGCUAAGAUACAUCAAAGGCACCUUAAGCCAUGGAAUACAUUUCAGUAGGGCUGAUGAAUUGAAACUGAUUGGCUACACUGACAGUGAUUGGGCUGGUUCAAAAGAUGAUAUGAAGAGCACUUCUGGUUAUGCUUUUACACUAGGCUCAGCUAUGAUUUGUUGGAGUUCAAGAAAACAAACGAUGGUGGCUCAGUCUACAGCUGAAGCUGAGUAUGUAGCAGCUGCUAAUGCAGUUAAUCAAGCUAUAUGGUUAAGGAAAAUUUUGAAUGAUUUGAAUCUACAGCAAAAUGAAGCAACUGUGAUACAUUGUGACAACAAGUCAGCAGUUGCUAUUACUAAAAAUCCUAUCUUCCAUGGCAGGACAAAGCAUUUCAAUAUAAAACUCAUGUGAUAAGAGAAAUGGAGCAAGCUCGAGAAAUCGAGCUGAUACACUGCAGCUCUGAGAAUCAGAUUGCUGAUAUCUUUACAAAGUCACUUGGUGUGUUAAGAUUUCUAAAUUUAAGAAAGCUACUAGGAGUCUGCUGCAAAGAAGCUGAGGAGGAGUGUUAAAGUCAGCUCCCAUGCAGCAACAAAGGUGGCCAUGCAAGGAACGUGCUUCAAGCAGCAAACUGGUGCAGCAAGCUGAAGCAAUUUUGGUUCAUUUAGUUUCUUUAAAUGAAUGUUUUGUAUUUAGUUAGGAUCAAACUUAGUUGGUAGCUGCAUUUUGAUGUAAUUAGGUGAUGAAUGACAAGUUUAGGUAGCUGUUUAUGUAUUCAAACAAGUUUACCAAGUUACUAGGCAAGUUAGUGGUGUUAGGUGUGUUAUUAGGUGGUAACUUGUUUGUUUUGUUGUUGUUAUCUCAUAUAUGUAUUGGCAUUAUGCCUUCUAAAAUUAGUUAAUGAAAAAUCAGCUCAUUUUUCAUUCAAAUCUCUCUCUUUCUUUACUGUUUUUCCAUUGCAAAUUUUUCUUCUUCGGUUGUUUCGGCUCCAAGUCUCGAGGCUUGCUUACCAAGCAAAGCUAAAAAAUCAGCUUGCUGCUACCUCUUGCACCAACACUGAAGAGCUUCCUUUAGACAAGCUCAACUUCGUUCUUUUUGUCUUCCUAUUAUUUUCACAUUGAAGUACCCUUUUAAAGAGUCUAAGCUACUGUUGAGGUGGAUUUUGAUGGAUUGUCGUUUCUGAAAUAGGCAUACCCCCAGAGCUGAAAUUGAAGAGAUUCCUGUGACAAGAAACAAACCCCCAAAGCUAUGAAUGUUUAGCCUGUUGGGAUUGCUUUCUGGGUCCAGAGUUGUAAAGCU